rnacentral:rRNA from 1 species
AUUGAACGCUGGCGGCACGCUUAACACAUGCAAGUCGAACGGCAGCGGGGGGAGCUUGCUCCCUGCCGGCGAGUGGCGAACGGGUGAGUAACGCGUAGGGAUCUGCCUGUUAGAGGGGGAUAAGCCGUGGAAACGCGGUCUAAUACCGCAUACGCUCUAAGGAGGAAAGUUUGGGACUGGGAAACUGGCCAUACGCUAACAGAUGAACCUGCGUUAGAUUAGCUAGUUGGUAGGGUAAAGGCCUACCAAGGCGACGAUCUAUAGCUGGUCUGAGAGGAUGACCAGCCACACUGGAACUGAGAUACGGACCAGACUCCUACGGGAGGCAGCAGUGGGGAAUAUUGGACAAUGGGGGCAACCCUGAUCCAGCGAUGCCGCGUGUGUGAAGAAGGCCUGAGGGUUGUAAAGCACUUUAGUUGGGGAGGAAAGCCUGAGGAUGAAUAAGCCUUAGGGGAGACGUUACCCAAAGAAUAAGCACCGGCUAACUCUGUGCCAGCCGCCGCCGUAAGAC